rnacentral:rRNA from 1 species
GAGGAAUAUUGGUCAAUGGGCGAGAGCUGAACCAGCCAAGUAGCGUGCAGGAAGACGGCCCUAUGGGUUGUAAACUGCUUUUGUGCGGGAAUAAAGCGGGUCACGUGUGGCCCUUUGCAUGUACCGUACGAAUAAGGACCGGCUAAUUCCGUGCCAGCAGCCGCGGUAAUACGGAAGGUCCGGGCGUUAUCCGGAUUUAUUGGGUUUAAAGGGAGCGUAGGCCGUCUCAAAAGCGUGUUGUGAAAUGUCCGGGCUCAACCGGGGCCGUGCAGCGCGAACUGUGAGACUUGAGUGUGCGGAAGGUAUGCGGAAUUCGUGGUGUAGCGGUGAAAUGCAUAGAUAUCACGAAGAACUCCGAUUGCGAAGGCAGCAUGCCGCAGCAUUACUGACGCUGAUGCUCGAAGGUGCGGGUAUCGAACAAGAUUAGAUACCCUGGUAGUCCGCACAGUAAACGAUGGAUGCCCGCUGUGAGCCUGUUUAAUGGUUUGCCGGCAAGCGAAAGCGUUAAGCAUCCCACCUGGGGAGUACGCCGGCAACGGUGAAACUCAAAGGAUUGACCGGGGGCCGCAUAAGCGGAGGAACAUGUGGUUAA